AAAGUGCGAUAAGUCAUGUGAAUUGCAGAUUGUGAAUCAUCGAAUCUUUGAACGCAAAUGGCACUGGAGGGCUCAAUCCCUCAAGUAUGUCUGGCUGAGUGUCGGUGUUUUUAUAUUUUAAUGUAUCCUUUUUUAGGGUAUAUUAAGUGGUUGGGAACGCUCUUUUUUGUAAAAGAGAGAGAGACGGUCCUGAAGUAUAAUUAUAAAAUAGUAGCACAUUAAAAUUUUGUGUGCCUCUCUAAAAAAUAGAGAACCAGUGUGGUGUGUUUCACAACAAACAACUCUGGGGGUUUACUUUUAGGGUUAGGGUUUUAACAGUAACUAUAAUGUGUGAAACACCAACAAUAAACAAACAAUAUAUAUUACAACAAAAUCGACAUCAGCUCAGGCAAGAGUACCC
rnacentral:misc_RNA from 1 species